AUACUGCUGACGAGUCGCACAAUAAAAUGAAACGGCCUUCCAGUGU
rnacentral:hammerhead_ribozyme from 1 species